GUCCGUUCUUAACCUGAAACUGUUCUUAACCUGAAGCACCACUUUAGCUAAUGGGGCCUCCUGCUGCUGCCACGCCGCCGGAGCACGAUUUCUGUUCUCAUCCUGAAGCAAAGUUCUUAACCUGAAGCACUAUUUCUGGGUUAGUGGAGUCUGUAACCUGAAGCGUAUUUAACCUGAAGCAUAGGUAACCUGAGGUACCACUGUAUGAGGAAGAAAGAGGCGCCGCCACCAUUGCAGGUAACCAGGCUUGGGCUAUUCUCCACCUCCCCGCGGCGAAGCAGAGCAUGCAAACCAGAGGGGAUGAUCGUUGCAAGAAGAUUUGUGCACGCACACAGAGACCUUGCCACAAUAUUGUUGUGACCGUUGCAUAGUGCGUACUUACCCAGGAGUUGUUACGCUCUGGUGGGAUGUGAUGUCAACUUAACUUUUACACAGAGGGCAGGCCCGCUGGAAUGAAUGGACCCGGGCUGGGCAUGGCCACUCACGUCAACGGGUCUACCCUUGGGUAAAAAAUAGAGACUGCCGCGUAAAUAUGCUUUUUAAAAAAGCUGCAGUCCAGCCCCCGACAGUGUUUGAGGGACAGUGAACCGGCUCCCUGUUUAAAAAGUUUGAGGACCCCUGAUCCAGAGCAUAGCAUUUUAUCUUAUUAGUUUAUUAAUUGCCUUUUGUAUAAAUCUCAAGGUGGUUUGCAACUACACAGUUAUAUCUGAUGUAAUGUACUCAUUCAUAAAAUUGGGUUUUGCAUGUCACAAGUUUUGCAUGGUUCAAAGCCUUUGAUGUCUAUGUAUUUAUUUCUAUAGGAUAGUCUCUAGAGCAUUUAAACAUGUCUGAAUCGGAUGCCAGAGACUAGACUGACUCUAAGGGUGAAGGAAUGCAGGCACAGACAGAGCAGCCUCUGACAAAGGAGCAAGGGGAAGAUUCGCACCCCGCCUUACACAUUCCCAGAAUCAGAGAGACCAGCAGAUUCAGAAGCUGCUCAGUCGGGGGAAGAGCUGCACAGUUUUAAGAUAGUAGCUAGGCAACCAGGAGGGAGGGAGCCUUUAGGACAUUCUUCAAUAGAGAGUGUUGGGGAAGUCCCUCCCUCCCCUAGAGAGCCAGUGUGGUGUAGUGGUUAAGAGCGGUAGUCUCCUAAUCUGGGGAACCGGGUUCGCGUCUCCGCUCCUCCACAUGCAGCUGCUGGGUGACCUAGGGCCAGUCACACUUCUUUGAAGUCUCUCAGCCCCACUCACCUCACAGAGUGUUUGUUGUGGGGGAGGAAGGGAAAGGAGAAUGUUAGCCGCUUUGAGACUCCUGAAGGGGAGUGAAAGGCAGGAUAUCAAAUCCAAACUCUUCUUCUUCUUCCUAGAACUCAGAGGACUGAAAGGGUCCAGGAACAAUGGAAGCACAAGGGAGGGACAGGUGGCCCGUGGCGUGCUUCUUGCUGCAGAAGGGGAGGGGACUUAGAGUGAGCAACUGCCAUCCAUGAAGGGAAACAGCUUGGUGCUGCUCUCAGUAUGUUGUUGUAAAUAAAAUGGACUAUAAACCUG